AAAAACCCAAAAUGUUUCUCUAUUUUGUCUCAGGAUAAUUAUACUGCCAAUUUUUUUGUUGACUCCAUCUUUGUACCCCUCCAGAAACAACAGUUCUAAAGCCAGAGGAGGUGGAUGUACCCCCACAGAAUGCCUUUAGAAGUGACUUCUCUCCAAAAGAGUAUUGUCUGGGGGUAUGCUGAGAACAUCAGGACUCUACAUAAUGGAAAAAGAAAAGAACUCUCUAAUGAACACUUACUAUGAGGAGUCUUCAGAAAGUUCAGAGAGAGUGGUUGUUAUGGGAUGGACAUUUGGCACAAAAGGUAAAACACAACUUGGGACUCUGCAUUUGAUAUCAGAUUGUUUUGGUGCAAGUUAUGAUUCCACUUAAGAGUCCAAGUUCCUGCUAAAGCAG
rnacentral:lncRNA from 1 species